rnacentral:rRNA from 1 species
CCUGCGGAGGGAUCAUUGCUGGAACGCGCUUCGGCGCACCCAGAAACCCUUUGUGAACUUAUACCUUACUGUUGCCUCGGCGCAGGCCGGCCUCUUUAGCUGAGGCCCCCCGGAGACGGGGAGCAGCCCGCCGGCGGCCAACCAAACUCUUGUUUCUACAGUGAAUCUCUGAGUAAAAACAUAAAUGAAUCAAAACUUUCAACAACGGAUCUCUUGGUUCUGGCAUCGAUGAAGAACGCAGCGAAAUGCGAUAAGUAAUGUGAAUUGCAGAAUUCAGUGAAUCAUCGAAUCUUUGAACGCACAUUGCGCCCUCUGGUAUUCCGGAGGGCAUGCCUGUUCGAGCGUCAUUUCAACCCUCAAGCCUGGCUUGGUGUUGGGGCACUGCUUCGAGAGAAGCAGGCCCUGAAAUCUAGUGGCGAGCUCGCUAGGACCCCGAGCGCAGUAGUUAUAUCUCGUUCUGGAAGGCCCUGGCGGUGCCCUGCCGUUAAACCCCCAACUUCUGAAAUUUUGACCUCGGAUCAGGUAGGAAUACCCGCUGAACUUAAGCAUAUCAAA